rnacentral:rRNA from 1 species
AAUGAACGCUGGCGGCGUGCUUUACACAUGCAAGUCGAGCGAGGCGGCCCGCAAGGGCCAGUCGAGCGGCGAACGGGUGAGUAACGCGUGGAUAACCUGCCCUAAGGUGGGGGAUAGCUCGGGGAAACCCGGAUUAAUACCGCAUAAUACCGCAAGGUCAAAGGGGGCUCGCAAGGGCUCCCGCCAUAGGAGGGGUCCGCGUCCGAUUAGCUAGUUGGUAGGGUAACGGCCUACCAAGGCGACGAUCGGUAGCCGGCCUGAGAGGGUGAUCGGCCACACUGGAACUGAGACACGGUCCAGACUCCUACGGGAGGCAGCAGUGGGGAAUUUUGCGCAAUGGGCUAACGCCUGACGCAGCAACGCCGCGUGGAGGAUGAAGGUCUUUGGAUUGUAAACUCCUGUCAGCGGGGAAAAAGCAACCCGGCCUCAUACGCCGGGAAGUUGAUUGUACCCGCAGAGGAAGCCCCGGCUAACUCUGUGCCAGCAGCCGCGGUAAUACAGAGGGGGCAAGCGUUAUUCGGAAUUAUUGGGCGUAAAGGGCGCGUAGGCGGCAUGGCAAGUGGAAGGUGAAAUCCCUCGGCUUAACCGAGGAACUGCCCUCCAAACUG